AUGGGCAUGCACGCCCCACCCCACACACACAUCACAUACACACACACCACCUACCACACACCCCACAUACACCAUACCUCACACACACACCACCUACCACAUACUGCACAUACCACACACACCACACACACACCACCUACCACACACCAUACACACCCCACAUACCACACACCACUCACCACACACACACGACCUACCACAUACCGCACAUACCACACACUGCACGCACACCCCACCCCCCACACACAUCACAUACACACACACCACCUACCACACACCCCACAUACACCAUACCUCACACACACACCACCUACCACAUACUGCACAUACCACACACACCACACACACACCACCUACCACACACCAUACACACCCCACAUACCACACACCACUCACCACACACACACGACCUACCACAUACCGCACAUACCACACACUGCACGCACACCCCACCCCCCACACACAUCACAUACACACACACCACCUACCACACACCCCCCACACACCAUACCACACACACACCACCUACCACAUACCGCACAUACCACACACCCCACAUACACCAUACCUCACACACACACCACCUACCACAUACCGCACAUACCACACACACCACACACACACCACCUACCACACACCCCACACACACAGCACACACCAUACACACCCCACAUACCACACACCACUCACCACACACACACCACCUACCACAUACUGCACAUACCACACACACCACACACACACCACCUACCACACACCCCACACACACCAUACCUCACACACACCACCUACCACAUACCGCACAUACCACACACUGCACGCACACCCCACCCCCUACACACAUCACAUACACACCACCUACCACACACCCCACACACACCAUACCACACACACACCACCUACCACAUACUGCACAUACCACACACACCACACACACACCACCUACCACAUACUGCACAUACCACACACUGCAUGCAUACCCCACCCCUCACACACAUCACAUACACACCACCUACCACACACCCCACACACACCAUACCACACACACACCACCUACCACAUACCGCACAUACCACACACUGCACGCAUACCCCACCCCCCACACACAUCACAUACACACCACCUACCACACACCCCACACACACCAUACCACACACACACCACCUACCACAUACUGCACAUACACACACACCACACACACAGCACACACCAUACACACCCCACAUACCACACACCACUCACCACACACAUCACAUACCACCUACCACACACCCCACACACACCAUACCACACACACACCACCUACCACAUACUGCACAUACCACACACACCACACACACCAUACCACACACACACCACCUACCACAUACCGCACAUACCACACACUGCACGCACACCCCACCCCCACACACAUCACAUACACACCACCUACCACACACAUCACAUACACACCACCUACCACACACCCCACACACACCAUACCACACACACACCACCUACCACAUACCGCACAUACCACACACACCACACACACACCACCUACCACACACCCCACACACACCAUACCUCACACACACACCACCUACCACAUACCGCACAUACCACACACUGCACGCACACCCCACCCCCUACACACAUCACAUACACACCACCUACCACACACCCCCCACACACCAUACCACACACACACACCACCUACCACAUACUGCACAUACCACACACACCACACACACACCACCUACCACACACCCCACACACACCAUACCUCACACACACCACCUACCACAUACUGCACAUACCACACACACCACACACACAGCACCUACCACACACCAUACACACCCCACAUACCACACACCACUCACCACACACACACGACCUACCACAUACAAUAAACACCCACAUACCACACACACACCACCUACUACACACACACCACUCACCACACACAAACCACCUACCGCACACCACACACACCCCACAUACCACACAUCACACACACCACACACACACCACCCACCACACUCCAUACACACCCCACAUAUCACACGCCACACAUACCACACACACACACCACCUACCACACACACACAACCCACCACACACACACCACUUAGGCACAAACACACACCACAGGUACACACAACACACACACAAACCCCACACACCAAACACCACACACACACUACCUACCACAUGCUACACACACUCCACAUACCACACACACACAACACAGACACACACAACAAACGACACAUACACCCCACACCUCACACACCACAUACACAUAUCACCCACCCCACACACAGCACACCCCACACACACACCACCCACCACACACACACCCAACACACACCCCACAUACACACCACCCACUACCCACAUACCACAGACACCCCAUAA
ensembl:lncRNA